GCCUGGCUGGGGCGGAGGGAAUGGAGGAGACUCCGCGGGCCGGCCUGACCUUCCUGGUGGCUGUUCCUGGGGGCUCUGCCCCCCACUUCUCCCCCGGCGGGCUCACCAGCUCUUGGUUCAGUUACGCUAAGUUCUCCACCUGCGAAUCCUCUGGCACCUCACCCCAACACUUGCCCAAGACAGAACCCCACAUCACUCCCCCAGACCUGGCCUCCUGUGUCCCUGUUUCAAUCUGGAGCCAGAAACCUGGGAGUCGCCGUAGCCUACCCCUUUCCUGUCCCAACCAGUUGAUCGCCAAGCCCUGCUGCCUCUUAAAUCUCUCUGGAGUCCAUCCACUUCUCUUCACCUCUCUGGCCCUCCUGUAACCCAGGCCGCCAGCAUCUUGUACCUGGAUGGCUGCAGCAGCCUCUUUCUUGGCCUCCCACCCCCGUCCAGUCUCACCCCUCCCACUAGCGUUUCUCCCCCCCGGCAGCCAGAGCACUCUUUCAGAAACACAAGUCCAACUGGUCAGCUCCUGCUUACGAAUCUUCCAUGGCUCACCAGUACCCUGAGAAUAUGUCCAAUCAAGCCCUCCAUGACCUCAGUCCUAACCACCCGCCUGUCUAAUCCUUUCAGGGCUUGGUUCAAUGUGCCUCUGCCAGAAACCCUUCCCCAUGACCUCCUCCCUGGCCAGCGUGGAUUAGCUGCACCUUCCUGGUACUCAGCAUCUGUUUACCUGCCUGUUCCCCCUCUGGACCAGGAGCUCCUUGAGGGCGGAGACUGUGCCUGAUUCAUCCAGCACACAGCCUGACACAUCGUGUAGGCGCUCAACAGAUGUUUGUUGAAUGAAUAAUUAAUUGGAUAAGGCAAUUGGGGGGUUGGAUGUGUGGGGCCAGAGUUCGGGAAAGAGGUUUGAGCCAGUGAGGCAGUUUUGGAAGUUGUCAGAAAGGACCCGUAGUUGUAAGCAGAGCCAUGGGAAAGGGUGAGAUACCUCAGAGCAAAUACAGCAGCGGCCAAGGACAGAACACUCGCUUUUAAGGGGGAAAGAUUUCUGUACCGGGUAGGAUCAGUUUUGACGUAGGUAACAGAAAUCCCACAUAAGAGCCUCAGGGAAGACAGUCCUGGACUGAUAUGUCAGCUCUGCUCCACUAAGACCUCCCCAAUGUGGCUCCUUCCACUCACUGCUCCAGCCACCUCCGGGUAUGACUCUUGUCCUCAUGGUUCAGGGUGGUGGCUAGAGCUCCAGCUAUCACAUAUGCAUUCCAGGCAGUGGGAUGGGGACACGGAUGAAGAAGAGGGGAAAGGAUCCACACUAUCUCUCUUUUAAAGAAAGCUCCCAGAAGGUGUCACAUGACACUUCCACAUACAUCCCAUUAGCUAAAACUUAGUCAUGUGACCAGCCUCAGCUGCGAGAGGAGGCUGGGAAUGCAGCUUCCAUUUUAGGCAGCCACAUACCCAGCUAAGAACCAAGGGCUGUAUCACUGUAGAGAGAAUAGAUAUCCGAGGACAACUAGCUGACUCUACCAUUGAAAGAGAGGAUAGACGGAAGGGCGGGCACUACUGUGUGCCAGGCUCUGUAUUAGGCACUUUACAUAUCUUAUCUUCCCUCAACCUGAGUGGAGGCUAUUAUUAUCCCUGACUCACAGAGGGGGCUUGGAGAGUUAAGCAACUUGCCCAAGGACAUGCAGUGACCCUUGGCGGAGCUGCAAUUGAAAACUGUCUUUUCCCUGCACACCAGGCUGGCUGGAAAAUCAGGAGAGGGUGGGUCCUAGGAACUACUGGAAGGAAAUCUUUCAACAAAGGAGGGCUUGGUCCACAGUGUCGGAGGCUGACAGGCCAACCAGGAUAUGGGCUGAAGUGUCUGCUUGGAUUUGGCAACAAGGACACUGCCGGAGGGAAGGCGGCAGGAGGUGCGAAAGCAGCAACACCCUGUCCUGAGUCUCUCUUCUCCAACAGCCCUUCAUGGAAGAAGCCUCAUGUUAGAGUGGCCGAGAGUGUGGCCUCUGGGGUCACAGAGGCCGAGCUUCAGGUACCAGCACUGCAACUCACCAGCUGUGCGGCUUCAGGCUAAAGACGAAACCUCUCUGAGCCCUGGCUUUCUCGUAAAAUGGAGGUGAUGGCACCUACCUCAAAGAGGCUGCUCGAUCAACAAAUAUAAGCAGGGCCACACCACGCACUGAGCUCUGGGCUGAGCCCCAGCAAGAAGAAGUCUAGGUGUUUGUUUGGGGGACAUUCCCAUGAGUUCUCCCUGAGGAAAUUAGCACAGUGCCUGGCAUGCACAUAAUAAUAAAUAAUCCUCCUGUUGUCACUGUCUCUGGUCCUCCUUCACUAUAUCCUCUUUAAAUGUCCGUCUGCCCUCCUGGCUUCCCUUCUCGGCCCAGGCAGAACCUCGUGUGAGCUGUCACAGACACACUAGGUCCCACGGAUUUCUGUCUCCACUUCCGCACUCUCCUCCGAGAUUCAAUUCCAUACGUUCACUCAGUCAUUCAACAAAUCUUUAUCGAACCCCUGUUAUGUGCCAAAAAUUGUUCUAGUCACUAAAAAUAUAGAGAUGAACAAAACGAACCAAUACUCUGCACUCAAAGAACUUAUAUAAAUGUCUACAUCUCCCACAGCUUGGUGACACACAUUCCUUCCCAGUGCCCCGGCCCCCCGCCCCAGACAUCUCACAGGUCCCUCAAAUUCAACUCGACCCUUUGGAAAACAGUCUGGCAGUGACUCAAAAAGUUAAACAUGGGAUUACCACAUGACCCAGCAAUUCCACUCCAAGGGAUAUACCCAAGAGAACUGAAAACAUACAUCCACACAAAUACUUGUACACAAAUGUUCACAGCAAUAUUAUUCAUGAGAGGCAAAAAGUGGAAACAACCCAGAUAUCCAUCAACUUAUGAAUGGAUAAACAAAAUGUGGCAUUUCCACACAACAGAAUAUUAUUCAGUCAUAAAAGGAAUGGAGUACUGGUACCUUCUACAACAUGAAAGAAGCCAGACGCAAGGGCCACAUAUUGCAAGAUUUUAUUUACAUGAAAAGUCCAGAACAGGCAAAGUAGGAUGUGGAUAGGGGGAAUGGGGAGUGAUUGCUAA